GCUUCGGUGGCCUAGUAGCUAAAGCGUCCACCUCGAAUGCGGGAGGUCGUGGGUUCGAUCCCCGGUCGAGUCA